UGGGGAAUUUUGGACAAUGGGGGAAACCCUGAUCCAGCCAUCCCGCGUGUGCGAUGAAGGCCUUCGGGUUGUAAAGCACUUUCGGCAGGAAAGAAACGUCGCGGGUUAAUACCCCGCGGAACUGACGGUACCUGCAGAAUAAGCACCGGCUAACUACGUGCCAGCAGCCGCGGUAAUACGUAGGGUGCAAGCGUUAAUCGGAAUUACUGGGCGUAAAGCGUGCGCAGGCGGUUCGGAAAGAAAGAUGUGAAAUCCCAGAGCUUAACUUUGGAACUGCAUUUUUAACUACCGGGCUAGAGUGUGUCAGAGGGAGGUGGAAUUCCGCGUGUAGCAGUGAGAUGCGUAGAUAUGCGGAGGAACACCGAUGGCGAAGGCAGCCUCCUGGGAUAACACUGACGCUCAUGCACGAAAGCGUGGGGAGCAAACAGGAUUAGAUACCCUGGUAGUCCACGCCCUAAACGAUGUCAACUAGCUGUUGGGGUCUUCGGACCUUGGUAGCGCAGCUAACGCGUGAAGUUGACCGCCUGGGGAGUACGGUCGCAAGAUUAAAACUCAAAUGAAUUGAC
rnacentral:rRNA from 1 species